UCCCUGGUGGACUAGUGGUUAGGCCACUGCGCUCUCACUGCCACAGCCCGGGUUCGAUUCGCGGCCAGGGAA
rnacentral:tRNA from 1 species